rnacentral:rRNA from 1 species
CCUACGGGUGGCUGCAGUGGGGAAUAUUGCGCAAUGGGCGAAAGCCUGACGCAGCGACGCCGCGUGAGGGAUGAAGGUCUUCGGAUCGUAAACCUCUGUCAGCAGGGAAGAACGGUCACUGUGCUAAUCAGCAGUGAAUUGACGGUACCUGCAAAGGAAGCACCGGCUAACUCCGUGCCAGCAGCCGCGGUAAUACGGAGGGUGCGAGCGUUAAUCGGAAUUACUGGGCGUAAAGCGCUCGUAGGCGGUAUGUCAAGUCAAGGGUGAAAUCCCCGCGCUCAACGUGGGAACUGACUUUGAAACUGGCAAACUGGAGUGUGGGAGAGGAUAGUGGAAUUCCAGGUGUAGGAGUGAAAUGCGUAGAUAUCUGGAGGAACAUCAGUGGCGAAGGCGACUAUCUGGCACAAAACUGACGCUGAGGAGCGAAAGCGUGGGUAGCAAACAGGAUUAGAUACCCUAGUAGUC